AUUGAACGCUGGCGGAAUGCUUUACACAUGCAAGUCGAACGGCAGCACGGGUGCUUGCACCUGGUGGCGAGUGGCGGACGGGUGAGUAAUGCAUCGGAACGUGCCGUAUAGUGGGGGAUAACGCAUCGAAAGGUGUGCUAAUACCGCAUACGCCCUGAGGGGGAACGUGGGGGACCGUAAGGCCUCACGCUAUACGAGCGGCCGAUGUCCGAUUAGCUAGUUGGUGGGGUAAAGGCUCACCAAGGCGACGAUCGGUAGCUGGUCUGAGAGGACGACCAGCCACACUGGGACUGAGACACGGCCCAGACUCCUACGGGAGGCAGCAGUGGGGAAUUUUGGACAAUGGGGGCAACCCUGAUCCAGCCAUUCCGCGUGAGUGAAGAAGGCCUUCGGGUUGUAAAGCUCUUUUGUCAGGGAGGAAAUCCUUAGCGUUAAUACCGUUGGGGGAUGACAGUACCUGAAGAAUAAGGACCGGCUAACUACGUGCCAGCAGCCGCCGUAA
rnacentral:rRNA from 1 species